rnacentral:rRNA from 1 species
GAUGAACGCUGUCGGCGUGCCUAACACAUGCAAGUCGAGCGAUCUUCUUCGGAAGAGAGCGGCGGACGGGUGAGUAACGCGUGGGUAACCUGCCCUGUACACACGGAUAACAUACCGAAAGGUAUGCUAAUACGGGAUAACAUAAGAAAGUCGCAUGGCUUUCUUAUCAAAGCUUUUGCGGUACAGGAUGGACCCGCGUCUGAUUAGCUAGUUGGUAAGGUAACGGCUUACCAAGGCGACGAUCAGUAGCCGACCUGAGAGGGUGAUCGGCCACAUUGGAACUGAGACACGGUCCAAACUCCUACGGGAGGCAGCAGUGGGGAAUAUUGCACAAUGGGCGAAAGCCUGAUGCAGCAACGCCGCGUGAGCGAUGAAGGCCUUCGGGUCGUAAAGCUCUGUCCUCAAGGAAGAUAAUGACGGUACUUGAGGAGGAAGCCCCGGCUAACUACGUGCCAGCAGCCGCGGUAAUACGUAGGGGGCUAGCGUUAUCCGGAAUUACUGGGCGUAAAGGGUGCGUAGGCGGUCUUUCAAGUCAGAAGUGAAAGGCUACGGCUCAACCGUAGUAAGCUUUUGAAACUGUAAGACUUGAGUGCAGGAGAGGAGAGUGGAAUUCCUAGUGUAGCGGUGAAAUGCGUAGAUAUUAGGAGGAACACCAGUUGCGAAGG